rnacentral:rRNA from 1 species
CAAUAGCGUAUAUUAAAGUUGUUGCGGUUAAAAAGCUCGUAGUUGGAUCUACGAUUAUGACCAGUGGUCGUCCACCUCGGAUGUACUGCUGCGUCUGAUCGAAUUAUCUGGUGUGCGAUUGAUGCUCUUUAUUGAGUGUCUCUAGCUGCUGGAACGUUUACCUUGAAAAAAUUGAAGUGCUCAAAGCAGGCCUAUGCCUGAACAUUGUUGCAUGGGAUAAUAGAAUAGGACUUCGGUUCUAUUUUGUUGGUUUCGGAACACGGAGUAAUGAUUAAUAGGGACAGACGGGGGCAUUCGUAUUGCUGCGUUAGAGGUGAAAUUCUUGGAUCGUAGCAAGACGCACUACUGCGAAAGCAUUUGCCAAGAAUGUUUUCAUUAAUCAAGAACGAAAGUUAGAGGUU